rnacentral:tRNA from 1 species
UAAGCUAUAGUUUUUUAAAAAACAUAUAAUUUGCACUUAUAAGAUAUUUCUCAUGAAAUUAGCUUCA